CUCUGCUGGUGGAUGGACUCUCGUUCCGUUUGGUUGCCCAACUAUCCCGAGUUUGAUAUCUUCUCUACCUCCUUGGGAUGUGUUGGAUUCCAUAUCAGAAACAAACUGGUUUGUAGUACCUUCUAUAACGAAAGUCGGUAAAUCGUUAGAUCUCAUGUUCAUAUUCACUGUCAUUAGGCUGAGGUGAAAGAAGAAAUGGGUAAGUCCCAUCUUCAUCUGAAGCUAUCUGCCUCAUCUCUAAAGAUUUAAUCAGUUGUGUUGCUUCUGCUAUGAGCUUUUUACUCUCUAACAACGAUGCUUGAGCAACCGGGCUUUUCAAAGCAGCAAUCUCGAGGACUUUCGCAGCUUUCUCAGCUUCCGAGAUCAAAAGCCUGAGGCGAGAAAAGCAUCCAUCUUCUUUGAUUCUUCCGCCACUCGUUUUGCUCUGAUGCUUUUGAUCAUUUCCAGUUUUGAACUUGCCAAAGGAUCUUUAUACGCAGGAGUCUUCUUUCUAGGUUCUGCAUCGCUCCUUGGUCUUCUACGACGCCUCUCGACACCAACAGGUAUACCGUGAUAUUUUGCCAAGCCGGAGCAAACUCUUUCACGUGACUAGACAACUUACUGGAUCAGCCCAUUUAGCAGCUAUUGCUU